CCUACGGGUGGCUGCAGUGAGGAAUCUUGGUCAAUGGGAGCAAUCCUGACCCAGCCAUGCCGCGUGCAGGACGACGGCUCUACGAGUUGUAAACUGCUUUUGUACCGGGGUAAAAUGCCUUACGUGUCGGGUUUUGCAUGUACGGUACGAAUAAGGAUCGGCUAACUCCGUGCCAGCAGCCGCGGUAAUACGGGGGAUCCGAGCGUUAUCCGGAUUCAUUGGGUUUAAAGGGUGCGUAGGUUGUUUUAUAAGUUAGCGGUGAAAUACCGAUGCUCAACAUCGGGGCUGCCGCUAAUACUGUAGGACUAGAGAGCGGAUGAAGCAGGCGGAAUGUGUAGUGUAGCGGUGAAAUGCAUAGAUAUUACACAGAACACCGAUUGCGAAGGCAGCUUGCUAGGCCGGAUCUGACACUGAUGCACGAAAGCGUGGGGAUCGAACAGGAUUAGAUACCCCUGUAGUC
rnacentral:rRNA from 1 species